GGUCCCUGCAGUAGGAGAAGGAAGAAGAGGAAUUAGGGUACGGAUAAAGCACAGUGCUCAGAGAAUCCCAGAAAAUAAUCUCUGUAGCCUGAAUCAGAAUAUUGUCUCACCCCAGUAGCACCUAUGCAUGUUUUUGGGGCCAGGCUAGUUGGAGCCCAUGCAGUUAGGCCCUGAGACUGAAUUUCUAGGGUCAUUUGAACAGAAUGGCUUCCCUAACCCUUACUUGGAAAAUGUCUGGGUUCCCAUUUUGAUUCCACAACACUGGGGAAGGCUGCUUUCUAAAGAACACCUAAGCAAAUAUUCUGAUAUGGCUAUGGGGCUGGCCCAUGUUGUUGAGAGUGAAUGUGUGCAUAGGAGAGAGUGUGGUCAUUGAAAAUGUAAAUAAAAUCCACAGGUUCUUAAGUUGCCUGGAAGUUACCAGUCUUUUCCAGGAAGCAUUCCUUUGGAGACUCUUUUCAGGGGAAAACUCUCAUGCUAACCAAGUCUAAUGACACCUACCAAAUCUUAACUCUAUUUGCAACACAUCCAUUGUAAUCACAUGCUGAGCCAUGUGUGUUGGCUCCUUACAGGAGAGGAUGAGCAGGCAGGAAGCACUAAUCUCAGUGCUUUGAGCUCAAGGGAGCCACUGGUCUGGCAUCAUUAUUAAAUGUUGGAGGGUCUUAGGAGUCUCUUAAGUUGCUGGAGUCCUUUUGCAGUGAGAAUCGCCAGCUUUCUCCUGAGUGAAUGAAAAUUUUAUAAAUUCACAUCAACAUGUUUCAGCCACCCCCUUCUGAGAAGCUGCGUCCUUUUCGAGGGACUUUCUCUCUGCAAACUCUCCCCUUCCUCCCACACUCCGCCACCAUUAGCUUUUCAAUGGAAACAGACAAAGCGAAGGUAGCAAGACAAACACAAAUCUUCAGGGCGCCAUGGAAAGCGUGUAGGGAGUAAAUUCACAUGUCAGGGUUUGGACUCUUAUCAGUCAUCAGCUGUGUGACCUUUAGCAACUUGCUUGACUUCUCUUAUGUUUUGAUUUCUGACUAUAAAAUAAAGUUGGACUAGAUGAUUUAAAAAAAAUUUUUUUUUUAGCCUUAAAUGUCUAUGCUUCUACAGCUUAGUUUCUUUCUAGAGCUCAUAACUCCAUCCAUGGGAUUCUGUCUGAGGCAAAAACUCAUUCAUGGGAUUAGUGUCCUAUUUAGUUUGACAUUGGAAUUCACUUUAAAAAAUAUCGAGAUUACUUGAGUGAUUGAAACACAUAUUGAAUCCCCACCAAAGUCAAGGGGAGAUCAUCGCUCAGCACAUUAGUACAUGUCCAGCCUUAUGCCAGUACCUCAUUGUCUUGGUUAUUGUAGCUUUGUAGUAAGUUUUGAAAUUGGGAAGUAAGAGCCCUUUUACUUUGCCCUUCUUGCCAAGAUUGUUUUGGCUAUUCUGGGUUCCUUGAGUUUCUCUAUGAAUUCUAAGAUCAGCUUAUCAGUUCUGCCCAACAAAAGGCAACUGGGAUUCUGAUACAAAUUGCACUGAAUCUGUAGCUCUAUUGGGGUCGUAUUACCACUAUAGUAAUACUGUCUCCUGAUUGAUGAACAUGGGAUUUUUUUUUUUUUUUCAUUUAGUUAAACUUUCAUUUCUUUCACCAAUACUUUGUAGUUUUGGGUACAUAAGUCUUCUUUGGUUAAAUUCAUUUCUAAGUACUUAUUUUAUCCUUUUGGGUCCUGUUAUAAGUGGAUUUCAGAUUGAGUUCUACUUUCGUAAAAAAUAUUCUUUAUUAUUGUCAACAAUAAUUUUAUGGUCAGAAAGAAUAUGAAAAAUAACCAUUUCAGCCUCAGGAAGAAUUCCCAUGUCCUUUUCCAUUCUUUAAAGCAUUCUUCUCCUUUCCUUGUCCUCAGAUUCAUCUGAGACCACUUUGACAGUCUCAGGUGAGUGUUAAGUCAGGACCCAUCCCUCUGAUCCCUACCCCAACCAGGGAGACUCUAAGGGAGAAACACCGAACCCCAUGGGUUCACAACAAAACACUGAGUCUCACAGGAAGUAGAUCUUGCUUGGUUUUAAUAAAAACAGUCUUAGAGCACAGACACACGCACCAACCACACAUGGAAAAAAUGUGUCAUUUGUACCUUUGCCUGGAGGAAAAUAUUGAUAUUGUACCAUGGUUAAUAGAAAUGAAAUCAACGUUGAGUCUCUAAAUGACUUUUCUCUGCAAAGCGAACAGGCAUGUGGAGGAGGGGUACUCAGAGAAGAAAGGCAAAAGAAACCUGAUCUCAAGUGACUUGGCAUUUUGGUUCACCAAGAGCCUGAGUGCUGAGAGUCAGAUCUUAGGAAAUAGAAAGAGGCAUGUGAACUGCCUUGAAUGCGAUUACAAGAGAGAUAAUGGACAAUUACAUCAGAACUAACUCAAAACUGCCAUGAGGCUUAGUCACUCUUCAUUAAUAAUGGGGAUGCUGGCAAAAAAUGAAAUAGAUGAGUGAGAGCCUUGACGAAGCACACACACUUGAACACACGCUCUGCCAAACAAGUUUGCAUGUGGCAUGUUGUAACUUUACUACUCAGAAUCAUAAAAGAGCCGGGCAGGAUUCCCAGAACAUUGCUAACUUUUCUUUCUUCUGUGGUCCACGUGUUAUAAUUGUGUGAUUUUUUUUUCCAAAGCCAUUUUCAACUCUAGAAAUGGAGAGAAUAUGCGACACACAUGCUCCUCAAGUUUAGACCUAGUUGUUUCCUGCUGUCCAUCUGAGGUUCAUGCUUCCUUCAAUUCAAUGCUGCAAGGUACAGGCUGACUGAAAGAAGACCAGCAAUUGGUUGAUUAAUACCAUUGAAGAGGCGUGUCUUCUCCUCCCACAAUAUUAAGGAGCUAUUGUGCAGGUUAUCCUAAUGUUUGACUAGCCCUUCCUGUGUAUCUAAGGCUGAAUCCAACAGCCACUUUUGCCUCACCAGCUAUUCACUGUUUAUAACCCCAGCACUUGAAGUACCAGAGGGUUCAGAGGGAGUCAGUUAUGAAUCAAGGAGAAAAGCAUGGUUGGAAUGAAAAGCUCAGCGGCUGAUGGUCUCCAUUCCUUCGAAAGCCAAGUUGAGGAUGCUGAAAUCCCCUUAUUGUCUUUGGUACCUCAGUGUUCCUAUUUGUGAAAGGCUGAUAAAGAUGCCAGGGAUUCUGGAAAAAGAAAUGGAAUGCAUAUCGACUGGCCACCCAGUAAAACAGAUUUCAGAUGCAAAUAGAAACAAAAAGCUGGGGGAAGUAUGAAGAGUUUUAAGGAUAAAAGAAGAAAAAAAACCUGAAAAGAUAAUCCUUUUAAGAAGCUGAUUUUUUCUUAGUCAUUCCCAAAGUAAGAGGGCCAGGGUAAUACUGCCAAUGCUUAACUCCAAAAUAGAUAAAAGGUUAAAAAAAAAAAAAAAAA
rnacentral:lncRNA from 1 species